GCCUCUUGUUAAUGUGUAAUAUUUAUUUCCUGGGUGUCGGUAAUAAGGGCGGAAUUGUUGGUCCUGACUUCGCUGUGUGACUAUAUGUCGGUAUUGAUCCCCGCUCAUGAGUGAAGGGGAAUCGCCGUUCGCCCUCGUGACGUCAUCACGCUGCCCCUGGCGUAACGUGGAGGCAGAGUGCAGGGUAAGCCGGUGAAAGAGUGAUUAGUGCCAUGGUAAUGAAGGCUUCCAUGGAAGAUGAUGAUUCAGGAUGGGAACUUUCCAUGCAGGACAAGAUGGGAAAGAGCAAUGCCAACUGGAUAGACAUCACUCAGGAAUUCAGAGAUGCGUGUAGCGAACUGAAGCUGGGAGAACUCCUUCAUGAUAAACUGUA